CCCCGCCCCCCCCUUUCCACUUGCAUCUGUCAAGUGGACUGCCCCUUCCCCACAGUGGCCAAAAAAUGGAGCUUUUUCCAUUCUUUGGGACAGUAAGACAGAGCGAGGACCAGGCACAGUUGUGAGAAGGAUAAUAUACUGAAGAAAAAAGGAAAUUACUUACAGACCCCCUGCCUUCUUCCUUUACAUAGAUUGUAACCCUAACAUCCAGCCUGGAGAUUUUCUGAGAACACGACACCCUGGAGAGAAAUUCCCUAAAGAUCAUUUGGAAGUGGCAGCAUCUCUGACAGAAAAAGAAAGCAAAAAAUUAUCAAUAUCCUCAGAGAGAUAAGACAGGAUAGUCUAUUUUUUAAAUAUUUUUUAUAUUUAUAUGUAUUUUUAUAUGCCAUUUUGAAUUUAAUUUUAUUUGCUUAAAUUUUAUUUUUUUAUUUUGAAAAUUUUUUAAUUUAAAUUCAAGUUAGUUAACAUAUAGUAUAUUAUUAGUUUCAGGGCUAGAACUUAGUGAUUCAUCAGUUGCAUAUAACACCCAGGGCUCAUUCCAUCAAGUGCCCUCCUUAAUGUCCAUCACCCGGUUACCACAUCUCCCCACGCACCUCCCCUCCAGCAACCCUCAGUUUGUUUCCUAGAGUUAAGAGUUUCUUAUGGUUUGGCCUGGGUGGCUCAGUUGGUUAAGUGACUGCCUUCGGCUCAGGUCAUGAUCCUGGAGUCCCGGGAUCGAGUCCCGCAUCGGACUCCCUGCUCGGCAGGGAGUCUGCUUCUCCCUCUGACCCUCCCCCCUCUCAUGUGCUCUCUCUCUCUCUCAUUCUCUCUCUGUCAAAUAAUAAAUAAAAUCUUAAAAAAAAAAGAGUUUCUUAUGGUUUGUUUCCCUCUCUGUUUUUAUCAUUUUAUUUUUCCUUCCCUUCCCUCUUUUCCUCUGUUUUGUUUCUUAAAUACCACAUAUGAGUAAACAUAUGGUAUUUGUCUUUCUCUGACUGACCUAUUUCACUUAGCGUGAUACCCUCUAUUUCCAUCUACGUCAUUGGAAAUGGCAAGAUUUUCUUCUUUUUGAUGGCUGAGUAAUAUUCCAUCGUGUGUGUGUGUGUGUGUGUGUGUAUCUCAUAUCUUAUAUAUAUCACAUCUUCUUUAUCCAAAGGAUACAAGAAUAGUGAUUCGAAGGGGCACAUGCACCCCAAUGUUUAUAGCAGCAACGUCCACAAUAGCCAAAAUAUGGAAAGAGCCCAGAUGUCCAUUGACAGAUGAAUGGAUUAAAUGCUAUUUUUAAAAAGGAACAGUUAGAGAACAAAAAAAGAUCUCAGAAAUUUAAAUAUGAUCCCAGAAAAAAAAAAAAAAAACUCACCAGAAGAGGUGGAAACUAGAAAGUACAGCAAAAAAUAAGACAUGGAAAAUAGAAGAUAUAAGGGCAAAAGCAGUUUAUUUGGGAGAUGAUCCACCUAUAGCGUGUGGGGAAGUGAAACCAGGAAGCUACUGUAUCCAGCAAGAUACUAUGAAUAACUGGAACUUGAUUCCUUGGGGAGACUCUGCGAGACCAGUGUGGAAAUCACGGCUCAAAGUUAUCCCCACUCAGGGCUGAGCGAGCUGAGCUAUUUAUUCUGCUAACUCUCAUUGCUCAUUGGUUAAGAGCUGCUCCCUAGGAGGAGGGGGUUAAUUACCCCCAACUCUUCAUGAGCAAACCUUUGGUAUCCAGAAGAAGCCCUCAGGCAAAGAGACAUUUGUACUGGAAACGACUGGAGGAUGCACUCCACCAAAACAAUGGAGUGAAUCAAGAAAGAGGAAGAGACAGAAUUUAGGAACCAGAAUAUUUGACAUAAGAGAUGAAGGGAAUCCCCAGGAUGUGGUGAAAGGGUGGAGUGGGGAACUGCCAGUUAUUAAUAUGGAACUAUUUGAUUCUUUCAACUAUGUGCAUGUUUAUUUUCGAUAUAAAUUAAAAUCAGUAAUUUGUCUUUUUUCUUCUGCUGCCUGAGAAAGGGAGGAGGUGAGACAGAGAAUGCGGAUCCUUCCUAGCUGAUAAGAACCUGGGAAGGUAAAGUGAAACUCUUUUGUUCCUUGGGUCCGUCAAUCCAGCAGGGCCAUUCUCUUUCCAUCUCCCGUUUAGGCAGGAAGAGAAAUUCUGAGCAACUGGGAAAUUAAGACUUAAAAUAUUGAAAAGAGCUGUUGGUGCCAAACUGACCUAAAAUCUGGGGCUGCCCUAGGAGGGUUCUGACCCAAGGAAGCGAUCCAAGGUCUGUGGCCCUAUCAAGACACCAGAGUCUACCACUUUCUGAUCGCAGGCAAGACAGCCACGGGAAUGAGGCCUCCUGAAAACUGACUUAGUCCUCCUUUCUCUUCCUAUGUUGGAGGAUGGAAGCCGCGUGAGGACGGGAGCCACGUCAGCUCUGUUUCCCACUGUGUCCUUAGUGUCAACGCAGCCCUGGGGACAGCAGAUGGGGGGUGUCCGUGGCGAGCGGGAGUGAAGUGCUUUCGUCCUGCCCGCACCACAGCAAGCCCUUCCCACGUACCACCUCGCUUUUACUCUCACGGCAACCCUAAAUACUGUCAUGUGGAGAGCCAGGCAUGCGUGCAGACAGAAGAGCAGGUGGAGGUGAAGGCAGAGAUGGCCCCGAUGCCGCAGAAGCCAAGGAAUAGCAAAGAUGGCCAGAAAAACCACCCGAAGCUAGGGGAGGGGCCUGGAACACAUUCUCCCUCACAGCCCUCGGGAGAACCAAUCCAGCAGACACCUUGAUCUCAGACUUCCAGCCGCCAGAACUGGAGAGAAUCGAUUUCUGUUGUUUAAGCCCUCAGUUUGUGGUACAUUAUUGUGUUGUGGCAGCCCUAGCAAACUAAUAAAAGUAGUUUCACCCAAUUUUGUAAAACAAAACAAACCCUAUAUAUGUCAUGGAUUAUUCUCUCUCUCUCUCACGUGCAUGCACACACACACACACACACAGUGAAAGGAAGUAUAUAAAGAAGUGAACAGUGGCUCUAUGGGAAGAGUGGGUGAUGGGUAAUUUUGCUUUGUGCCUUUCUCUGCACCUUUGGGUUUUUCCUCAGUUCCCUUACAUCCCUACAAUAUUAUAUAUUAUUACAUAGACACAUCUUUGGGCUUGUUUCCUUAUCUGUAGUUUGAGAAUAGCCAUACCAGGGGCGCCUGGGUGGCUCAGUCGUUAAGCGUCUGCCUUCGGCUCGGGUCGUGAUCCUGGGAUCCUGGGAUCGAGCCCUGCAUCGGGCUCCCUGCUCGGCGGGAAGCCUGCUUCUCCCUCUCCCGCUCCCCCUGCUUGUGUUCCUGCUCUUGCUAUCUCUCUCUCUGUCAAGUAAAUAAAUAAAUUCUUAAAAAGAGAGAAAGAGAGAAUAGCCAUACCAGUCACCCAGCAUUGUCGUGAAGCAUAAGGUGCCCGACGUGCCUGGCUGCUGGUCAGUUGGUGUCCCUAGAGGAGGGAGAGCAGCUCCAAAGAAGUAAAGCGGGGCAUAAUAGCUGUGUUCUCCUACCUCUCAUUAGGGGAGGGCUCCGUUCUUACGAGAAGGCUUCACCAUGGCUGCUAAGCAGGGCACGUGGAUGCGGCUUGGCACCGGUCUCUGUAUGUGGCAGGGGUGGAUGUGGAGAGUGAAUUGGCACAGGAGAGCUGGCUGGACACCUUGGGUUUGGGAGGGUCAGCGAAGGAAAGCAAGAGAGGUUAGAAGGUUGAUUGGGGAAAGAUUGGUUAAAUGAGGACAGCUUAAUCUGU